rnacentral:rRNA from 1 species
GACGAACGCUGGCGGCGUGCUUAACACAUGCAAGUCGUACGGAAAGACCCUGCGUUUGUGUCUUGCUCGUUUGGCGAACGGGUGAGUAACACGUGAGUAACCCGCCCUUAACUGUGUGAGAACUUCACGAAACAGGGGCUAUUACCGGAUAGGAUCUCCUGCUGCAUGUUGGUGGUUGGAAAGUGUCGGCGGUUGUGGAUGGACUCGCUGCUUAUGAGCUGGUUGGUGUGGUAGUUGCUUACCAAGGCUUUGACGGGUAGCCUGCCUGGGAGGGUGAACGGCCACAUUGGGACUGAGAUACGGCGCAGAAGGGUAUGGGAGGCAGCAGUGGGGAAUAUGGCAGAAUGGGGGGAAGCGUGAUGCAGAAAUGCUGCGUGCGGGAUGCCGGCCUUUGGGUUGUAAACAGAUUUCGAAUGUGACGAAGAGUGAGUGACGGUAAUGGGUAAAGAAGCACCGGCUAACUACGUG